rnacentral:lncRNA from 1 species
CCUCCUCAAACAUAUUUUUUUGACUUUUUUUUUUCAAUGACUAAUUUAGAUUUAUUAUUUUGAUGGUCAAGAUUAUUUAUGUUUCACUUGUAAAACUUAUUAUAGAUGACCAAAUUUUUUUCUUCAAAUACAAAAAUUAAAUUACAAUAUAGACAAAAAAUAGUUUUAAAUUAUAAUAUAGCCACAAAAAAAUAGUUUUAAAUUUUUUUCUUUACACUAAGGAAUGG